rnacentral:lncRNA from 1 species
GGUAUUUCUGAACUAUUUCCAUCAAAUUUUGAUGCAUUUUUCCGGUACUUAUGCGGAGUAGUUGACCAUCUCCGAUGUUCGGUAUUACUGAACUAUUUCCAUCAAAUGUUGAUGCAUUUUUUCGAUACUUAUGCGGAGUAGUUGACCAUCUCCGUCCUGUCAUAUCUUGUUAGCCUAGGUAAGUCAGUUAUUAUUUUGAAGGUAGUCUAUAGUAUACUAUUUUUUCAUGUACUUAUGAUUAUAUGUAAUGCAUAAAAGGCAGUAUCAUCCAUCUAGUUCACUGGGAUUGAGAUGUCCUCUACCCUAGCUAAUGUUCAAGCCAACACCCAUCUACUUCAUAUGUAUGUAAGUAGCGGCGCAUGCUCUUUUUAAUAAAUCUUUGUUUCUGUCUGACCAAUUCCUUUGGUUUGUACUACAUGGACCACUCUUAUGUAAGAAAUUCCCAAAUAGACAAUGGAUAAUGGUACAUUAAAGUAAAGAAUCGAUAAUGUAUACUUAGUUGAGUGAAAUCGGUUCUGGCUCUCCAUGUUUGAUGCGGUGAAGCAGAAUAUGUGUAAAGCACUACCGAGUUUUGCUAUCCUGGCCUGGCAAUUUAGUCCUGCUGUACAAUGGAGAUUCCAACGGUCAUAGUCCAUGGAUGCUGCUAGUCAGUAGGUUAAUAGCAUGACCCCCUUUAAAUAUAGUUUUAUUUGUUUAUUAGCAACUUCUUUCCUUUCUUUAUUAUAGUUUGAGCACUUCUUUAGAUAGCAAAUUCUUUGAUCUCAUUUAUUUGUUGUUUCUACCAAGUGUUUGUCCUCAUGUUUGUAAUCAUUCAUUGAAUAUUAGGAGCAAAAAAGUGAAAAAUCCGAGUAGUAGAGGUGCAGGUCUAUCAUAAGGAUGUGUUCAUUUUCAGGAAUGAUUAUGCGGAUCAUACAUGUUACGGAUCUACAUCUUCAAUUGAGUACGCCUCCUUUUCACAUCUAUUGUUGUUAUAAACAAAAGCCUCUUUCUUUAAUUCUUUGAGACUAAAAUAAAUUUAAGUAUAUAUGAGAAAUGAAGAAGUAAUAUCAAUAAAAUUUGCAUAAUUAAAUAUUAGGAUGAGCAGCAUAUGCAAAAAAAUCAAAGAUGAGAACUCUGAACUUCAAUUUUUUUAUCUGAUAAAUUUUGUAGUGACAGUGAUGAUCGUUUGUUUGUGCAAAACCUCCAGUAACCAUACUUGCAAAAAGUUUUUCCCAUAGAGUGGUCCCUAUCUUCUCACCACUGAAAGAAUUUCACCAUGUAAAGGUAAUGUAAAAAGUUAUAUACAUAACUUUAAAAUUGCUUACAUAAUAUAAAUAACUUACUCUAGCAAAAGAACAUAAAUCUCGCUUAUGUUUGAAGUUUGCUGCGAUUGUGAAGACAAUUAAGCCCGGUUGGUGGUCGGCUGAGUGGACACAGGUCUUGGAAUAACAGAGGGUAAUGGUUCGAUCCUUCAAACUUCCAGAACUGGUCUAGUCCAAACCUUCAGUUAUAGUGAAAUUCUCUAAAGGACUUGUGUCAAGUCUUUCAGGGAGGUGCGUUAGUAGGAGAGGAGUUUCAUAGUUUAGCCAAGGUUGCUUGACAGUGUUCUAUGGACUAUGGUUUAUCAGUUGCAGGACCUAAUUUAUUCUUCCCUUCAAUUGUAUAUGUGCAUGGUGUGAACUUUGACAGUGAGACCGGCAGAAUCGCAUGCAGAAUGCUUUAGCCGCAGUCCAAAAGGUUUAAUGUUGUUAGUUCCUAGCAGUUCUGGUGUAACCACGAAGUGAGAUGCAUUUUAAUUAUGUAGUUUUUAUAUAAAAAAUUAUCUGCUUAUAUUAUGUAGUUCAUAAGCAGACAAUCAAGAUACUUGAAAUGCAUUAGCCGUUUACUAAAUGAAUAGAGUUGGGAAGAAAUCAAAGGUAAGGAUUAGGCCAUAGAUAAUAAAAAGGAGGUGACAACCACCAAUGUUUAAGAUCAAGAAAACAGUGCUUAUUGUGUCACAAGCGAACAUUUCUUAUUUUCUCCAUGUCUGUCAUGCAGACCUUGAGCCAAAGAGGUCAAUUAUAAUUUUGAUAUUUGUUAGGUACCUCGAAAUAACUAUUCCUAUGUAGAUAAUAAAAAUUACCUGAUCUGAGCACUAAGAUUUGUUUGUGCAGGUGCAAAGGGAUUAGAAGAUGCUUAUGGGACAACUGUGAAUGUUGACGGGAAAUAGCUAUUUCAAAGUUUGAUUAAGAAAGUCACAGUAAUCAAAAUCUUAGGUGGAAAAUUCUAUUGGCUGAGAUGUCCAUGGACAGUAAUGGCCAGGAACCAAUAUUUUAUUGUCUGAUGGUUAUUCUCCUUUCAUGUACGUUGCAUGUGACAAAAGAAUCAACUUGAUGAUGCUUAUGUAUAUUUUGGCAUCAAAUAUCAAAUUCUAUGUGUGUUGUUAAUUGAUGAAUAGAACAAUUAUGGUAACAGAAAAAGAGUUGAAUAGCAAAAACAAAA